AACGCGAAGAUCCUUACCUGGGCUCGAACGGCUUUGGAACAUCUUUGGAAACAGAGACUUCUCGCAAGAGACCGGAGUCGAGGUGCUGCAUGGCUGUCGUCAGCUCGUGUCGUGAGAUGUUGGGUUAAGUCCCGCAACGAGCGCAACCCUUGUCCUGUGUUGCCACUCCCGUAAGGGAAGCACUCUCAGGAGACCGCCAGCGAUAAGUUGGAGGAAGGUGGGGAUGAUGUCAAGUCAUCAUGGCCUUUAUGUCCAGGGCUACACACGUGCUACAAUGGACGGUACAAAGCGCUGCAAACCCGCGAGGGGGAGCCAAUCGCAAAAAACCGUUCUCAGUUCGGAUCGCAGGCUGCAACUCGCCUGCGUGAAGCUGGAAUCGCUAGUAAUGGCGUAUCAGAACGAUGCCGUGAAUACGUUCCCGGGUCUUGUACACACCG
rnacentral:rRNA from 1 species